GACGAACGCUGGCGGCGUGCUUAACACAUGCAAGUCGAACGGAAAGGCCCUGCUUUUGUGCGGUGCUCGAGUGGCGAACGGGUGAGUAACACGUGAGUAACCUGCCCCUGACUUUGGGAUAACUUCAGGCAACUGGGGCUCAUACCGGAUAGGAGCUCCUGCUGCAUGGUGGGGGUUGGACAGUUUCGGCGGUUGGGGAUGGACUCGCGGCUUAUCAGCUUGUUGGUGGGGUAGUGGCUUACCAAGGCUUUGACGGGUAGCCGGCCUGAGAGGGUGACCGGCCACAUUGGGACUGAGAUACGGCCCAGACUCCUACGGUAGGCAGGAGUGGGGAGGAGUGCACAAUGGGCGGAAGCCAGAUGCAGCAACGCCGCGUGCGGGAUGACGGCCUGCGGGUUGGAAACCGCUUUCGCCUGUGACGAAGCGUGAGUGACGGUAAUGGGUAAAGAAGCACCGGCUAACUACGUG
rnacentral:rRNA from 1 species